rnacentral:misc_RNA from 1 species
AUCCUGGACAACUUCAGACAUUGAAGGUCUGAAUUCAGGCUCCCACUGUACGCAUCUGGAUAUUAUAUCAGCAAAACGAGAUAAAGACUUGACAGGAUAUGCUCCAUUUAAAGAAGGGUCAACCAUCCCAGAUAGUGAAUCUAUAUCAUGAAGCUGAGGAAUUGCCCAUCUAACCAGAGAUUGCUCCCCUCGACUACGUGACCUGUCAUAAGACUUCCUCCCAGUGAGGAGUUCUAGCAUCACAACUCCAAAACUAUAUACAUCACUCUUGCAAGUAUAACUUCCUAACUCAAACUCAGGAGCACCAUAGCCAUAAGCACUGAGGAGGCGUCCUGAUAACUGACUUGCAGAGCCAGAUGAUUGUAGAGGGGCCAAACCACAGUCUGAGACACAUGCUACAAACUUUUCAUCAAUUAGGAUAUUGCCAGAUUUGAAAUUGCGAUGUACAAUGGGGGGCUGACAGACUUCAUGCAGAUACUGUAGCGCUCUAGCUGCUCCUAGAGCCAGCCGAAUGCGUGCAUUCCAUGACAGUUUCUUAUGUAUCUCAUCAUCCAUAUGCAGUGCAUCAUGAAGUGUCCCCAUUUCACAAUACUCAUAAACAAGUAACCGUUGGCCAUGCUCAUUACAGUAACCCACAAGUUCCACAAUGUUCGCAUGUCGAAUUUUAGCGAUAGUAGAAACUAGGUCAAGGAAUUCCUCGUCAGUCUGUUGCCUGGUAGCCAUGCUGUUCAGUUUCUUGACAGCCAGUAGCUUUCCAUCAGGAAGCUCAGCCUUGUAAACACUGCAAAGCGUGCCCUCUCCAACAAAAUUUUCUUCUGAAAAACUAUCCGUGUACUGCUGAAGAGUUGCAAUGGUGAAAACCCUUAUAGAACUUGAGGAUUUCAGAUUCUUAGUUGAGCAACUCCGUUCAUAUACUUCUGCAGGCACAACUGGAUUAACAAUGACCUUGUCAACAGGAAGACAUGGGGGUGGGGGUGGCUGCAGAUGCAAAAAAUUCAUAUUUGUCCCAUGAUCCACAUUCUUCCUUGACCAUGCAGACAUUCGUGCCAGAUCUAAUCCCUGCUCAUCCCGAAGCUUUGGACUUAUCUCCAUUUUUCUGUUAUCUUGUCGAGACUGAUCUUGUAAAUUUACUAUCGAUUCUUUUGGAACUUUGUCCUCUUGACUAUUUUUUUGCAAUGAAGAUUUAUUACUAGGCUUCUCUAUGUGGCCCCUAUAGGCAUCUUCAUUAUGCCUUUCGGCAUCUUCCUCCACUUGCCUUCUUCUACAGCAGGCAGACAUUAACAGACACACUCCUAAUAUGAUAACUACUGCCACCACAGAAACACCAAUCAAGAUGGCCCUAUUAGUCGUAAAAAAAGGCCUUGAACUUUCAGCCUUUGGUAUUUCUGAGGCAGGUGGACCAUGUCCCUUCUUCUCAGGUGAUUUUGCAGAAGAUGGUGGCAUGGCUGGAGAUGGGGGGAGUGCAAGUGGAGGAGAAGGAAUUAUGGUUGUGUUGAAUGGGUUGCCAUCUUUUCUGAAAUUUGGAAUAUUCAGUAGCUUUGCAGGCAUAGGCCCUGAAAACAGAUUGUUCUCAACAUUCAGAUCCUGAAGGGGAAGAUCCUGUAAAACAUCAAGGACCCCUAUAAGUUUAUUAUUCUGCAAAUGCAAUGAACUAAGAGAUGACAAAUUUCCCAGUGAUGGAGGCAGCGGACCACUCAAAUUGUUACCUGACAGAUCCAAAUUUGUCAAGCUUGUCAUCUGUUGAAAGGCAUCUGGUAUUCCUCCAUUUAGAUGAUUAUUGUUUAAUGACAAGUAUGACAAUUGAGUUAACGAAGACAGGGUAUCUGGGAUGCUUCCAUUGAACUGAUUACCAGCAAGAGCGAAGCUCCUCAAGGUAAGGGGUAAGUUGGAUGGAAUACUACCUCCAAUAUGAUUGUUACUCAAAUCUAUUUCUAUGAUAGAUUCAAAAAGCGCCAAGUCAUCGUCCAAGCCUCCUCCUAAAUUCAUGCCAUUUAGUUUCAGUGCAGUUAUGUUAAAGAAUACGCAGCUGACACCUUGCCAUUCCUCUCCACAAGGAUCUCCUCCAACAGGAACCCAUCCAAGCAAGGGUGGCAAGUUCAGAGAAAGGAACAAGCUAUUCAUCGCCGCAACAUCACGAGGGUCAGUAAGAGCAACACAAAAAGAAGCCAUGCAAGCCACCAGCAGCAGACCAGUAAACAUUCCCCAUUUUAUACAGCCCAUUGUUAGAACACCAAGGGAGAAAAAAAAAAUCCAAACUUGAAAUCUUGAGACUUGAAAGAAAAGAGAGGGAUGAAAAGGGAAAGUGAAACAGAGGAAUUGAAUUGGAAGUGAUGGGUAGUAAUCUGAUGUAGUCCAGAAAAUCUUAGCAUCAAAAGCAGAAGGGAGUUACAGAAGCAGAGACAGAAUGUGGGUAUCUGAGGAAGGAAAUAUGGAGUUUCCCGCAGCUUCAGGCACCCUGAUUUCUCUAUUUCGUG